GGUCAAAUACGUGAGUUUGAUGAAUCAUAUGUGUGACAACAGCACUGAUGCUUGUUUGUGUUUCUACAGGCCAUUAUUCCGUGCAGCUCCUACAUACUGAUAUUCCAGAGGCUGUUUCAGGCUUUACCUUCCCUGCCUACAGAGGUGGAGACUUUGAUCUUGCACACAACUGGAGAACUCAAGCAGAAUGGAGCAAGAGACUGUUCACUUCCUGAACCUCCAACAGUAAGAGUUUGUUUUUAGCAUACGUUCCAUCUCUGUCUUGUUCAGUCCUACACAUUUCCUCACUAUGAUUCACUGUUUAAUACUUUUUCACGAAACUCAAAACACACGUUGCUUUAAACAUUUAUUUUUACAUUUUGUCUUUGACUUUCUUCUCCCUUUUUCAUCUGUUUCAGUGUCUGCUCACUCCUGUGAAUGGUAAGAGCUUUUGUAGAACAUGUUAGUUUCUAAAAUCAAACUAAUCAGUGUGUCUAAUGGAGCCUUGAUGAAUGUUGCAAUGAACUGAAUCUUCAUUCCC
ensembl:lncRNA